rnacentral:rRNA from 1 species
AUUGAACGCUGGCGGCAGGCCUAACACAUGCAAGUCGAGCGGAAACGACACUGACAAUCCUUCGGGUGCGUUAAUGGGCGUCGAGCGGCGGACGGGUGAGUAAUGCCUAGGAAAUUGCCUUGAUGUGGGGGAUAACCAUUGGAAACGAUGGCUAAUACCGCAUGAUGUCCUUGUUUAUAAUGAGCGGGGACCAAAGAGGGGGACCUUCGGGCCUCUCGCGUCAAGAUAUGCCUAGGUGAGAUUAGCUAGUUGGUGAGGUAAUGGCUCACCAAGGCGACGAUCCCUAGCUGGUCUGAGAGGAUGAUCAGCCACACUGGAACUGAGACACGGUCCAG